ensembl:lncRNA
CUUGCCUCUUCCUGGGGGCAUGGAGUCUGACACAACACCUCAUCUGCUCUCAGCAGUGCUCACAGUGAAUGUUUAACCCUGCGUUAUCGCCUCUGUAGAGAUGCCCUAAUUGCAAAAGAGAUAAUCCCAGCGCAGAGCAGAAUAUACUUCCUUUAACCACGGAUUCCUUAUUGCUCCCACAAAGCACUGGGAAAACAGGGGCAUGUGGAGGGGAUUGAAUGGGGAUAGACUUUAAGGUAUUAUUGAACCCUUGGGUAUAGAGUGCAAGCAUUCAGAGACUCAGCAGGUGUUGACGCAAUGUGUUUUUGAUGGAAACGCCGGACUGAGGUUGGGUCGGUGGUAUUAAGGGUUUUGGGUAACGACUCAAACUACUGAUCAGAAUCGAGAAUUGGGACCUGCGAGAAUCAAUGGAUUUUUGCUGAUUUAGAGACUCGUGAUGGACCAUCGGAUAUAGCCGAGCCGACAGGGUCUCGGACUCGGACUUCACGAGAAAGCCACUGACCUUUAUCGCCCUGAACGUGGGCUGCAACAAUAAGUCUUUGAGUGCGAAUGCAGCCGGCUCUGUGUAAAGGGUCCCUCAAGCACACCAGGAUCUUCAAACAAACAUGUACCAAACAUAAUAAAAACAUUAAUGAGCCCCCCUCCCUCGCAGCACCUAAUCCAGCUCC